rfam:Haemonchus placei strain MHpl1 genome assembly, scaffold: HPLM_scaffold0003485
GGCCCAAAUUUGAAGUAGAGUAGAUUGGAAGGAUCAUCUGACCCUACUAAACUACUCUACUUCGAGCUUGUGCCC